UUGGAGGGCAAGUCUGGUGCCCGCAGCCGCGGUAAUUCCAGCUCCAAUAGCGUAUAUUAAAGUUGUUGCAGUUAAAAAGCUCGUAGUUGAAUUUCGGGGUUAGUAGGUUGGUCAUGCCUCUGGUAUGUACUGGUCUCACUGAUUCCUCCUUCCUGAUGAGCCGUAAUGCCAUUAAUUUGGCGUUGCGGGGAAUUUGGACUGUUACUUUGAAAAAAUUAGAGUGUUUAAAGCAAGCUAACGCUUGAAUACAUUAGCAUGGAAUAAUGAAAUAGGACGUUCGAUCCUAUUUUGUUGGUUUCUAGGAUUGACGUAAUGAUUAAUAGGGAUAGUUGGGGGCAUUAGUAUUCAAUUGUCAGAGGUGAAAUUCUUGGAUUUAUUGAAGACUAACUACUGCGAAAGCAUUUGCCAAGGAUGUUUUCAUUAAUCAAGAACGAAAGUUAGGGGAUCGAAGACGAUCAGAUACCGUCGUAGUCUUAACCAUAAACUAUGCCGACUAGGGAUCGGAUGAUGUUAAUUUUUUAAUGACUCAUUCGGCGCCUUACGGGAAAC
rnacentral:rRNA from 1 species